rnacentral:rRNA from 1 species
GACGUAGGUGGCGAACGUUAUCCGGAAUUAUUGGGCGUAAAGGGUGCGUAGGUGGCCUGACAAGUUAUCAGUGGCAAAUCGAGGCUCAACCUCGUGGAAACUGGUAAUACUGUUCGGCUUGAGUACAGGAGAGGUUAACGGAACUCUAUGUGGAGCGGUAAAAAUGCACAGAUAUAUAGAAAGAACAUCAAUAAAAGGCGAAGGCA